rnacentral:rRNA from 1 species
UACGUAGGGUGCGAGCGUUGUUCGGAAUUACUGGGCGUAAAGCGCACGUAGGCGGAUAUUUAAGUCAGGGGUGAAAUCCCAGAGCUCAACUCUGGAACUGCCUUUGAUACUGGGUAUCUUGAGUAUGGAAGAGGUAAGUGGAAUUGCGAGUGUAGAGGUGAAAUUCGUAGAUAUUCGCAGGAACACCAGUGGCGAAGGCGGCUUACUGGUCCAUUACUGACGCUGAGGUGCGAAAGCGGUGGGGAGCAAACAGG